GACGAACGCUGGCGGCGCGCUUAACACAUGCAAGUCGAACGGAAAGGCCUGCUUUCCCUUGUGGAUUGCGGGUACUCGAGUGGCGAACGGGUGAGUAACACGUGAGUGAUCUGCCCCCAACUUGGGUAUAAGCCUGGGAAACUGGGUCUAAUUCCCGAUAGGACUGCAGGGUGGUGCCUGUGGUGGAAAACGAUUUUCUAGUGGUUGGGGAUGAGCUCGCGGCCUAUCAGCUUGUUGGUGGGGUAAUGGCCUACCAAGGCGGCGACGGGUAGCCGGCCUGGGAGGGUGGACGGGCACAUUGGGACUGAGAUACGGCCCAGACGCCUACGGGAGGCAGCAGUGGGGAAUAAUGCACAAUGGGCGGAAGCCUGAUGCAGCGACGCCGCGUGGGGGAUGACGGCCUUCGGGUUGUAAACUCCUUUCGACCGCGAGGAAGCCACCUGGUUGGAAGGGUGGUGACGGUAGUGGUAGAAGAAGCACCGGCUAACUACGUG
rnacentral:rRNA from 1 species